GAUGAACGCUGACAGAAUGCUUAACACAUGCAAGUCAACUUGAACUUCGGUUUGGGUGGCGGACGGGUGAGUAACGCGUAAAGAACUUGCCUCACAGCUAGGGACAACAUUUGGAAACGAAUGCUAAUACCUGAUAUUAUGAUUAUAUGGCAUCGUAUAAUUAUGAAAGCUAUAUGCGCUGUGAGAGAGCUUUGCGUCCCAUUAGCUAGUUGGAGAGGUAACAGCUCACCAAGGCGAUGAUGGGUAGCCGGCCUGAGAGGGUGAUCGGCCACAAGGGGACUGAGACACGGCCCUUACUCAUACGGGAGGCAGCAGUGGGGAAUAUUGGACAAUGGACCGAGAGUCUGAUCCAGCAAUUCUGUGUGCACGAUGAAGUUUUUCGGAAUGUAAAGUGCUUUCAGUUGGGAAGAAAAAAAUGACGGUACCAACAGAAGAAGUGACGGCUAAAUACGUG
rnacentral:rRNA from 1 species